rnacentral:rRNA from 1 species
GAAGGGGGCUAGCGUUGCUCGGAAUCACUGGGCGUAAAGGGCGCGUAGGCGGACUUUUAAGUCGGGGGUGAAAGCCCAGGGCUCAACCCUGGAAUUGCCUUCGAUACUGAAAGUCUUGAGUUCGGAAGAGGAUGGUGGAACUGCGAGUGUAGAGGUGAAAUUCGUAGAUAUUCGCAAGAACACCAGUGGCGAAGGCGGCCAACUGGUCCGAUACUGACGCUGAGGCGCGAAAGCGUGGGGAGCAAACAGGAUUAGAUACCCUGGUAGUCCACGCCGUAAACGAUGGAAGCUAGCCGUUGGUAAGCAUGCUUAUCAGUGGCGCAGUAACGCAUUAAGCUUCCCGCCUGGGGAGUACGGUCGCAAGAUUA